rfam:Haemonchus placei strain MHpl1 genome assembly, scaffold: HPLM_scaffold0001196
CCAACGGCCCUUUUCAGGGCUACAAAAAUGCAUUUUAGUCGAAAACU